CGCUAAUGAGUGUGUUUGAUAUUUUUGUUAAGGUAUCUUGCGGUGUUUGAUGGGGGGAUGGCAUAAGAAAGUCCACACCAAGCAAAAUAGCCAACAAAAAUAGUUAGUCUGCAUGCUGUGCUAAGAAAAUUUGUGGAAAUAGGAUUGGGAAAACUUCAUCUCAAUUUGAAAAAUGUUGCAGUUUGUUGAUGUCAAAUAAAAACAUGCGAAUAAUUUCAUGCACUGACUGUUACCCUGUUUGGAAAUGGGCAGCAAUUGUCUGUUAGAACAACACAUCUCCAUAUGUUUAGUUUAUGGCAGAGGACACAUCAGGAGCAUUUUUACUGCAAUUGUAAAAAGCAGCCCAUAGUACUUUUCAAAAUGGGUCCACAGGCAGACCUUCCCACAUCACCAAAAGUAGCUUAUCAUUUUGAUUUCCUCAUACAAAUGAGAAGUCUGCUAAUAUAAUGCUAAUACAUCAUUGCUGUAGACACCAAAGACCAAUUCAGUGAAUGGAAGGAGUUGGGUUAACAGAUGCUGAAGAUAUGGCUGUGGGCGAAGAUUUUCAAACUUAAUAAAAAGAUGACAUCUGAAACUAAACAUGACCUUUUUUAAUGGACCUACUCUCUACGGAGAACAAAAGAAUAUAGAGUUAAUCUAGGAUCUUAUUGUUCAUCACCAUUACUAUAAGGAUCAAACUUUUAUAAUCAAGGAGGCUCAUCCUGGUAGUUUGUGAAUAAGAUAGCACUGCACAAAAACUUUUUAAAUUUGUAUAUCCUAUUGUUAUUUGGAUAAUAUUUUAUUAUUUCAAUAAAAUACGUUUUAAAAAGAGCAGUGAAGAUAAAUCUUAGUUUCAUUGCGCAAUGUUAGUAAUAUAAUUGGUCAGCAGAAUAGAACUACGGGUACAUAUGUAACAAGUACCUGUAUGUGACCCCUAUAUGCCAGCAUUGACUUCACUUGCCAUUUUUGUUUUGGAUACAUUUUCUUUCUUAACCACCCAUAUAAAAUGAAGUUUAAUUUCAUUAAAUAUAAAGAAAGUAUCUUUUACUUUUGAGUAAUAUUUUAAGUUAUUCUCCAACUUAAAAAUCCAAAUAUGCUUGGACUAAAAUUUCCUUUUCAAACCUGACGGUCUAUGGGGCAAGUGAAGUAGAGUUCACUUGUUUCUGUGACCUCGGAAUGUGAAGAGAUAGUGUGGUCAGCAAUAUGCCCAGCCACCUUUACUUUCCCUAACGUGAGUUAGGACUAACCACCCUAGAAUUUAUCAGCAAUUAAAUAAUGUCCCUAAAAUUUUGUAUAUUUUGUCACCUUUCCAUAUGAAUGCUAUGUGAAUUGUUUUUGUAAAUAAGCACAUCGUCGUUAAAAACCUGCUGGUUGUUAUACAUAAUUCAUCAAUUUUAUGUAAUUAGAAGAACGCCAGUUUAUAGCGAUUACAUAGGCAUGUUUAAACUGAU